GGACUACACGGGAAUCUAAUCCUGUUUGCUCCCCUAGCUUUCGUCCCUCAGCGUCAGUUGUGAUCCAGCAAGCCGCCUUCGCCUCGGAUGUUCCUGCGGAUAUCUACGCAUUUCACCGCUACACCCGCAAUUCCACUUGCCUCUCUCACACUCUAGCAUGGCAGUUUCGGAAGCAGCCUCUGGGUUUAGCCCAGAGAUUUCACUCCCGACUUGCCACACCGCCUACGGACCCUUUACGCCCAGUAAUUCCGAGCAACGCUGGCCCCCUACGUAUUACCGCGGCGGCUGGCA
rnacentral:rRNA from 1 species